UACGAGAGGCGCAAACGUUAUUCGGAAUUACUGGGCUUAAAGAGUUCGUAGGCGGCGCAGCAAGUAGGGUGUGAAAGCCCUCGGCUCAACCGAGGAAUUGCGCUCUAAACUACUGUGCUUGAGGAACCUAGAGGUGAGCAGAACUGAUGGUGGAGCGGUGAAAUGCGUUGAUAUCAUCAGGAAUACCGGAGGCGAAGGCGGCUCACUGGGGGUUUUCUGACGCUGAGGAACGAAAGCCAGGGGAGCGAACGGG
rnacentral:rRNA from 1 species